rnacentral:SRP_RNA from 11 species
CCAGCCACCAGUCCGCUUUGGAGGCCGCGCUGCAAGCGCGGCGCGCCGCUGUGGCUGGGGCGGAGGAGGAAGCGGCUCAGGAUGGGAACAG